GCCGAAGUGGCGGAAUAGGCAGACGCACAGGACUUAAAAUCCUGCGAUUAGAGAUAAUCGUACCGGUUCGACCCCGGUCUUCGGCA
rnacentral:tRNA from 1 species